rnacentral:rRNA from 1 species
UUCCUACGGGACGCAGCAGUCGGGAAUAUUGCGCAAUGGAGGAAACUCUGACGCAGUGACGCCGCGUAUAGGAAGAAGGUUUUCGGAUUGUAAACUAUUGUCGUUAGGGAAGAUACAAGACAGUACCUAAGGAGGAAGCCCCGGCUAACUAUGUGCCAGCAGCCGCGGUAAUACGGAGGGUGCGAGCGUUAAUCGGAAUUACUGGGCGUAAAGCGCUCGUAGGCGGUAUGUCAAGUCAAGGGUGAAAUCCCCGCGCUCAACGUGGGAACUGCCUUUGAAACUGGCAAACUGGAGUGUGUGAGAGG